rnacentral:rRNA from 1 species
GAUGAACGCUAGCGACAGGCCUAACACAUGCAAGUCGAGGGGUAGCACAGAAUAGCUUGCUAUUUGGGUGACGACCGGCGCACGGGUGAGUAACGCGUAUGCAACCUGCCUAUAAGAGGGGGAUAGCCUUUCGAAAGAAAGAUUAAUACCGCAUAAUACUAUUUGCCUGCAUGGGUAAAUAGUUAAACUAUUUGGCUUAUAGAUGGGCAUGCGUUCCAUUAGAUAGUUGGUGAGGUAACGGCUCACCAAGUCAGCGAUGGAUAGGGGUUCUGAGAGGAAGGUCCCCCACACUGGUACUGAGACACGGACCAGACUCCUACGGGAGGCAGCAGUGAGGAAUAUUGGUCAAUGGGCGAGAGCCUGAACCAGCCAAGUCGCGUGAAGGAUGAAGGUCUUAUGGAUUGUAAACUUCUUUUAUAAGGGAAUAAAAAAGAUCACGUGUGGUUUAUUGCAUGUACCUUAUGAAUAAGCAUCGGCUAACUCCGUGCCAGCAGCCGCGGUAAUACGGAGGAUGCGAGCGUUAUCCGGAUUUAUUGGGUUUAAAGGGUGCGUAGGCGGUUUAUUAAGUCAGUGGUGAAAGUUUUCGGCUCAACCGGAAAAUUGCCAUUGAAACUGAUAGACUUGAGUGUAAACGAGGUAGGCGGAAUUCGUGGUGUAGCGGUGAAAUGCUUAGAUNUCACGAAGAACUCC